UACGUAGGCAGCGAGCGUUGUUCGGAGUUACUAGGGCGUAAACGUGCGUAGGCGGUGUCUUAAGUUUGUUGUGAAAUCUCCCGGCUUAACCGGGAGGGUGCGGCGAAUACUGAGAUGCUGGAGUGCCGGAGAGGUAAGCGGAAGUUCCUGGUGUAGCGGUGAAAUGCGUAGAUAUCAGGAGGAACACCUGCGGUGUAGACGGCUUACGUGGACGGUAACUGACGCUGAGGCACGAAAGCGUGGGUAGCAAACAGG
rnacentral:rRNA from 1 species